UACGUAGGGCGCAAGCGUUAUCCGGAAUUAUUGGGCGUAAAGAGCUCGUAGGCGGUUUGUCGCGUCUGCCGUGAAAGUCCGGGGCUCAACUCCGGAUACUGCGGUGGGUACGGGCAGACUAGAGUGAUGUAGGGGAGACUGGAAUUCCUGGUGUAGCGGUGAAAUGCGCAGAUAUCAGGAGGAACACCGGUGGCGAAGGCGGGUCUCUGGGCAACAACUGACGCUGAGGAGCGAAAGCGUGGGGAGCGAACAGG
rnacentral:rRNA from 1 species